UACGUAGGCAGCGAGCGUUGUUCGGAGUUACUGGGCGUAAAGAGUGCGUAGGCGGUUUUCUAAGUUUGGUGUGAAAUCUCCCGGCUUAACUGGGAGGGUGCGCCGAAAACUGGAAGGCUUGAGUAUGGGAGAGGUAAGCGGAAUUCCUGGUGUAGCGGUGAAAUGCGUAGAUAUCGAGAGGAACACCUGCGGCGAAGGCGGGUAGCUGGGCCGACACUGACGCUGAGGCGCGAAAGCCAGGGGAGCGAACGGG
rnacentral:rRNA from 1 species